rnacentral:lncRNA from 1 species
CACGACAUCGGAGACGAGCAGCGCCAAGCAGGAGCGGCCGCUUCCGCGCCAUCUUCAGAGGCGUCAGCAGCGGCACCGCCGGCGGGCACAAGUAGCACGAGCACCAGUACGCCAGGUUCCCGUUCAUCAGUUACAAAGAAGCGGUACAGGAACACAGGUGAUUUAGAAAUUGGUUUGUGUUAGAUAACGAGUAGAAAAAUGGAUUAAUGAUUACUCACUAGUCAAUCAAUUGCACAUUUUUUAGAUUUGAAGAGUUUCUUCAGUAGCAAUUUAUCAAGUGGUUCAGCCCCAAGUACCCAUCAGAGUGAGAAUGCUGCUGUAGUUUCUGAAGAAGUGCUGGCUGAAGCUGUACCAGUAGAAGUUGAACCACCCGGAGAUGCUGAAAUGGGAGAUGUAGAAGCAGAUGGUUAACUUAUUCAGGUUGUUGACUCAAAUGCUCAUGUUGUUUCUGAUCCAGGACUUCGAAUACCUAUUGAGAGAUUUCAUCCUAAUAUUAGAGGUGAUGUUCAGAGAGCUUAUUUGUUAAAGGGACCAACCAAACCUUUUGGUCAUAAUUUUCCUCGCAGAUCAAAUGAUAAUAGGGCAUUUUAGAAUCAUGGCUGAAGACAUAUGAUUGGAUUGAAUACAGUGUGGCAAAGGAUGCAGCAUUUUGCUUCUACUGCUUUCUUUUUAAGCAAGAACCUAUUGAUAAAAAAUUUGGACAUGAUGCUUUCACCAAAGCAGGGUAUACAAAUUGGAAAAAUGCAUACCAUGGACUUCUUCAUGUUGGUGGGCCAAUAAGUUUUCACAACAGAGCAAGGGCAGCAAGCGUAGAUUUUAGGAAUGCAAAGGCAAGUGUCACACAUAAGGUUGAAACUCACAGCAAAGAUGCACAAGUGCGAUAUGAAACUCGUGUUACAACAGCUUUAGGUAUUGCUAGUUUUCUCAUUGCACAAGGCCUUUCAUUCCGUGGACAUGAUGAAACUAUUGCUUCCUUAAAUAGAGGAAAUAUUUUAGAGAAGGUUGAGUGGUACAAGAUAAGGGAUGAGGAGGUAAGGGUUGCAUUUGAGGAGCUGUGUCCAUUAAAUGCCCAAAUGAUUUCUCCCAAGAUUCAAAAGGACAUAUGUGAAAGUUAUGCAAUGGAGAUCAGCAAUGUGAUAAAGAAGGAGAUUGGUGAUAAAUGUUUCUCCGUUCUAAUUGAUGAAUCCCGUGAUGUGUCAAUAGCGGAACAAAUGGCUGUCAUUGUAAGGUUUGUGAACAACAAAGGAAUGGUUGUGGAAAGGUUUUUGGGUCUUCAACAUGUGCCAGAUACAACAUCAAAUGCAUUGAAGAAAGCUUUGGUUCAGAUGCUUGCCAAGUAUGAUUUACCUAUUGCAAGACUAAGAGGACAAGGGUACGAUGGAGCUUCAAAUAUGAGAGGUCAAUUCAACGGUCUGCAAAAUAAAAUUCGUGAUGAGAACCCAUAUGCCUUCUAUAUCCAUUGCUUUGCUCACCAGCUGCAGUUGGUUAUUGUUUCUGUUACAAUUUGCUGCUCAUCUUUCAAUGAUUUCUUCACCUAUGUGAGUAUGAUUGCAACCAGCGUUGGUUCAUCUUGCCAAAGGAAGGAUAAGCUGAUUUCAAAGCAUUGUGACACAAUUCUGCAGCAAUUGGAGAGUGGUGAGAUUUUUUCAGGAAAGGGAAAGAAUCAAAUGACUAGCUUGGUUAGACCUGGAGAUACAAGAUGGGGUCUCAUUUCAUUGAGUUAAUGUGGGAUUCUGUGGUCCGAGUGCUGUCCAUGAUUCAUGAAGAUGAGCGUAAUCCUGGUUCAGCAGGUGGUCUGGUGGAAAAAAUGGAGAGUUUUUCUUUUGUUCUAAAUCUGAAAUUGAUGCUGAAAGUGUUCCGUAUCACAAAUGAGUUGUCUCAACUACUCCAAAGGAAGGAUCAAAAUAUUGUCCAGGCUAUGUCAUUGCUAAUUGAUGUGAAAAUUGGUUUGACUAAAUUGAGAAAUGAAGGAUGGGAGCCGUUAUUUGAAGAAGUCAAAACAUUUUGUGUUGCAAAAGAGAUUCCAGUACCAAAUUUGAAUGAGAGAGUACCAAAAUGGGGGCGAACAAGGCUUGAUAAGAACUUAACCACUCUAGAUCAUCAUUUUCGUGUUGAUACUUUCCUUGCUGCACUUGAUGCUAUACUGACAGAGAUGGAUCAUCGCUUCAAUGAGGCAUCAUCAGAGUUACUUUGUUUGCUUUGCUUGUUUAGAUCCAAGAGACAACUUCUCAAAGUUUGAUGUUGAUAAGAUUUCUCGUCUAACGGAGAUCUAUGAUCAAGAUUUCUCAACUGUUGACCGUUCAAAUAUCAAGGAUCAACUUGAGACAUUCCUUCUCCAUGUGCAAAGAGUUGAAGAGUUCAAUACUUGUACAGAUCUUGGAAGUUUGGCAACGACGAUGGUUGAAGCUAAAAUGCAUACAGCUUUUUCAUUGGUAUAUCACCUUGUUGAGUUAGCAUUUCUCCUUUCUGUAGCAACGGCAUCCGUUGAAAGAGCGUUCUCAGCUAUGAAUAUGAUCAAGACUGAUUUGCGCAAUAGCAUGUCUGAUGAGUGGCUCAAUGACUUAAUUUGUGCUACAUUGAGAAGGAGAUCUUUGUAGGACUUGAUUUUGAAAAGGUUAAGAAAAGAUUCCAGUCUAUGAAAGAUCGGAGGAUGCAAUUUCCUAAGCCUCCUAGAGGAUCUAGUCAUGCUUAGUGAGUGGUUUUUAGUGGUCGUAUGUUUGUUUUUUUAUCAUGUUCACCAACUGUCCAACUUUGAUGCAAUAUGCAUAUUCUAUAUUCACUUUGUUAAGGUCUUAUGUGUGGGUGUAUGUGGUAUAUAGCUUUCGCUGGUUGAAGCUUGUGUUAGGUUGUCCGCCCUACCUACAUUUUUUUUCCUAGGUUCGCCACUGUCUGGUUCUCCACUUUGCCCCUCUUAGACUAUGUCCAACAUUCUCACUUAAUCAGACACUCUAUAUCUCUAUUUAGUUAUCCCCAUAAAAUUCAUCUCUAUAUUUUCAACAGUUACAUUGUUAUAUAUCUCUGAAGGGUUCUUAUUUUAACCGUUAAAAUUCAAACAACAAAAGUAGCAACAGCUUGAACCGGCAUGGUUCGUACAACAAAGUAAAUCACACAACUUGUUUGUUCAAAGAAGGCCACAUCACCUAAUUAAACGUGAUUUAAUUAUUUGGCUUAAAGAAGGCCUAGCACAUCCCAGACCAAUUGCAAAUGUAGCAAUCAGCUUGAACAGGUAUUUCAUCGAACAACUAAAGUGCAUGCAGUAGUAGCUCUGACCACGAGCAGCACCAAGUAGCCAAGCAGAUAGCUAACACCACCGACUGACCACGAAGCAGCACCAAGCAGCCAAGCAGAGCUACCACCUCCGACACUAGCAAGCAAAUCACACCAAACAUCAAAUCAACACACCGUGGCAUAAAAAGGAGCUUAGAACAAACGCCAGAAUCGGACCUGCUAGGCAGGCCAUGACCAGGGAUGACGUGCGGCGACGGAGCAGCAAGGCCCGAGGCCGAAGAUGGCCGGCGCUCACCUGCCCUUUUGACAACACGCGAACGGCGGGGUGCGGCUGUGAGCGCUUCUCACCGCUGCCGUGCUGGUGCGUGGGAGGAUGCCAGCAGGGCCGGAAUCACGCAGAUGGGCGACAGUGCGCGGGAGGGCAGAAAUGGGGCUGAGCACCCGCGGAUCGGUUCGGCACGCUGAACGGUAGAAGACGGAUGAGACGGCGAUGGAGCUCUCGAAGAUGAGUAAUAGGCUACCCUCCAUGGACCUCUUUGCGUUGUGCGUUUGAGGAGCGCAAGUGAGUCGAGGGAUGGCCCCUGCAUCUGGUCCUCUGUCCUCCGUCGAGAGAUGGCGAUGGUGUAGAUUGAUGUUGAGUAGUUGACGUCUACUUCGGUGAUACGGGGAUUUGAUUACGUUAGGACGUGAGGUAACGUACGUACUCGGUUUUAUAAACGUAGAGUGAUGCUCCUUGGCCUCCUNNNNNNNNNNNNNNNNNNNNNNNNNNNNNNNNNNNNNNNNNNNNNNNNNNNNNNNNNNNNNNNNNNNNNNNNNNNNNNNNNNNNNNNNNNNNNNNNNNNNGGGGGGGGGGGGGGUGCCGAGCUCGAAACCAUGAGCCUCAGGCCGUCCGCGCCAUAUCCUCGUACAAGGAUGUGUGGGAUAGGUAGAGGCACAAUCACAAGGCAGCUGUGCACAGCGAAACACAGCAAGUUGAGCCGACCUUGCGGAAGCAGGCGCGGAACGAAGCUUCAGUGGCAGGCCGACCUUGCGGCCGAUGAAGACAGCAGACCGGACUCACGAAUUAAUCUGGCCAACAGCAGUGGAAAUUGGGAUGGUGCUGGAGGUCGAGCUCAGCGGGAGCUCGCGAUGAAGGCCGGCGCUCGCAAGAACUCAUGACGGAGGGCAGGGCUCAUGCUCUCAGGCAAGGGAGCCCGCAACCGAAGGCAAUGGGUAGGCCGACGAUUUUGGAAGAAGCAGAGGGGCCUGUUCGAGGAACAGGGACAUACGUGUAGCAAACGAGCUAAAAUUUACCUUCUUUGAGCUUAAGUGAAGUCAUUAGAGCUUAAUGGAACCAAUGAACAGCCUUGCACCCAAGUAAAAUGACCCCUUUUGCCCCUCACGAGCUAAACAUGUGUUUAAGCCAUAACUCAAUUUUUUUUCUUAAGAACUUAAAAAUCUGCCUAACUAAGAGUUGUAUAACUCACAAAUUCUAACAACUUUUGUAAUUAUCUUUUUGCUUGAAACUGAUCAGAAAAGGGUCAAAAUAUCGAAUUACAAAUCUGGGCCGAAAGGUGCAGAUCAAAUAAAGUCAGAACUUUGGAGCCCUUUUUCUCACAUUUUCGAAUGUAUGCUCAUGACAAACCUUUUAUGAAAGUUUUAGUGCUACGAGUCCUUAACAACUUUGAUUUUUGAGCAUAGGCCAAAAUCUGCACAGAAGGUUUUCAAAAACGAGGUCAAACGCAGCUAAAAUGGUCAACACUGUCAAAAAUGGCUGAAGUGUUCAAGUCUGAAAGUUUCGGAUUUUGCCAAACUUUGAAGCGUUUUAUCUUCAAUUCAGCUUCGAAUUUGAAAUCAAGACAAUUACAAGAAUUGAACUUAGAUCCUAGGCCUACAACUUUUGUAAAGGGAGUAGGGGUUGUGCAGUUCAAAAAUCUGGAGAAGAUCGCGCUCGAAGAUUGCCCUAUCGUCCGAUCCCGCAAAUCCCGCACCAGAGCUCACGCCGAGCACACGUGCGCCGCGCUCCCCUCACCGGCCGCCCCGUGGCACGUGCUCCUCGUCGCUGCCCCGUCGAGUUGCCCCCUGCCGCUGCUCUAUCCGCACGCGCCCUGCGACGCUCUGGCACGCCACCGCCGCCGUGCCCGCCAACGCACGCCCGAGACAAGACGCCACAGCUCCUCGGCCUCGCCUGCAGCGCCCUGAUGGAGCCGUUCACCCGUGCACGCCUGCUUCGCUUGCGGCGCCCGCCUGCAAGCACGCCCGCCAAGUCGCCUCCCCUAUCCGCCAAUGGUGCCCGCCGUGGCCGGUCCACCCCGCAGCAGCGUACUAGCGCCCCAUCCUCCAAACCACCCUCCUCAAGUCUCCUGCCUCCUUUCCAAGCCCCCGUGCCCUCCAACAGAAAGUUCUUGCCCCAAACCGGCAGCUCGAGAGGUUCCCGUUCCCUGACGAAAUCUGGCCAGCUCCCUCCGCCUCUGUCUAAUAGCCCACGCCUGAGGCUCCUCCACUUCCUCAGCCACACCCUCGGACACUCCUCGUCGCCUGCCUUCCAUCCCAUCGCCCGGAAUCCCACUUUCCCCAACUCCAGGAACUCCACCCGCCACCCCCACUGCCUCACCGCUGAACACCAUCUUCCAGUCAUCCUCGUCGUCAACCAACCACUCAAACGGAACCGCGGUAAGACACUGAUCAUCAUGCUCGCGCUCGAUUUCCUCUAGGGUCAACUUUCCGCGCUCGUUCCCGCUCAUGUCGACGGCAUUCCUCGCCGCCCGCGGAGCCCCUUCUGCGCCGCCGCGAUCCGCGUCUCUGGACCUGCUUCUGGGAGCCGUUGGCCCUGCUUCGCAGCCCCUCCUCGCCCCCAAGCCGCCCCGCUGCCCUCCCCCUACCGCCGCUGGCCCAAUCCCGAACGCCGGCCAAGCCUGUCUGUUUUGCUGUGCUGUGCGUUCUGUUCCAGAGGAAGAAGAAGGCCAGGGGUCUAGUUGCGAGUGGAAAAGAAAGUCAGGGGGUUAUGGGGAAAAUCGUGGGAUUUAUGUUUGAGGUGGGUUUUUGUCCAGGGGUGUAGGCGCAAGAUCCAGGGGCCUCUACGCAUUUAACCCAUAGACUGGAGGGCUAGAUUGGAAGAUUGCCUCGGUUUUCUUUUUUUUUCCUGGAUCUAAAAAGGCUGAAAGUUUAAAAAGGCAUAGAAAAGUGUAGAAAAAUGCUAAAAAUGCAAGAUAAAUUUUGUUAGACUCAAUAUUCUGUUUAGUUUCAUAUAAAAAUAAGUUUACACAUGUCUCUGUUAGAAUUAAUGUUAUAUGAUUUAAUCCUUGUUUAAGCUAGUUUAAAUCAUAGCAAAUCACAGAAAAAUGCUAAAAAGGUAAAUCCAACUCUCAAGUGUUUGUUUCAGAGAAUAAAAGCUUAGAAAAAUGGUUUAGAGCCUAGCUUAGACAUUUAAGUUACUGUUUUAGUUUAUUAAUUGAAAUCUACGGGUAGAUUUUUCUUUUUGCAUAAUGAUAAAUCCAGAGAUGAUAAAAAUAUGAAACCACUUGGAAUAAUUCAGGAAUGAGGUGUAGUUCACAGGAAAAUUAUGAGACUUGGUUUGAAAGUUAAUGAAAACCUCUUUCCUUUUUAGAGAAAGAUAAAAAGGAAUAAUAUAUGAAAUGCCUUUCAGACUCUUGGUUUUGCAUGUUGAAUCAUUUGCACCUGCAUUUCAUGUAGAAGUUAACAUCGCCGACGGUACAUACGAGCUGCACCCGACGCUCGAAGAGGAAGCUGUAGCGGAUCUACACCACGCCGAAGUCGAGCCCGUGCCAGAGCAAGCCGAGGACCAGUUCGGUAACUCCGAGUGUGAAGGCAAGCCCCGGAUCAUAAAUUCCUAUGUUUAAAUACUUGCAAUAUAUUGGUUGUUUUGAUUAUGCAUUUACGUUUAUAGGAAUUGAUUGAAACCAUAGAUGCAUGAAUAUAGUGCCCCUUGAUCUGAACACUAGUAUAAGAAGUCGAGUAGUUGCAAUGCUAAAUAGGACUCGGUAAAAGUCGAGUGAUUUCCUGUCACUCGCGAGUUAUAGGAGUUGAAUGAUUUUCUUUUCGUUGCAACUAUAAGGAUGAUGGACGGGGCUGGGCUUAUGUUGGUACUCGGUGGUUUGCCCCGUCUGUCUACUUGAAAUUGGACUAAGGUCGAAAGGUGAUGGUGUUCGUGAUCAAGUGUUUGAAAGUACUAAUCUCAUACCUAGUAUAGGUGGGGAAGCCUAGUACCUGAUUGAACUGGGACGUGGCUUAUACCCCUGCUGUCCUUGGAACGUCGUUCCCAUGGUGCAUCAUGUGGGUGCAAUGGCGGUCAUAGUACGGUAGAGACCGGGACUGUGGAGCAUUGCAUGCCAAAGGAAGUUUGGACCUGACACGUACCUAGGGAUCGAUGGGGACGGCUGACAAGUGAAGCGACCCUUCGUGGUGCGCGGAUGUCGUGGGAUUAGGUUCGCCAUGCAUGGUUAAUAAAUUCGAAUCGAUUCGUCUGCCUCUCACAGUGUGGGACUACUUGAUCGCUAUGCUACACUGAGUAAGAAUGAAAGAUGAUGAUGAUAUAAUAUUGUUACUUGUUAUUAAUUGCUUGGAAAACUAUGCUUGUUUAGUAUAGUUGCUAACUUAGAAUGAUAAACAACAGUAGAACUGGUGGCUAAAAUGUUGAAAGUAAGGACCUACACUAGUCGCUUUUGGCAAAACAAAACCCAGAGCCAAAAAGCUUACAUGUAGUGUUAGUGGAUUAGUACCACAGGUCGGUUAAGUCUUGUUGAGCAUAGUUGCUCAGCCUUGUUUGUGGCACCUCUUUUCAGGUGAGGAUGAUGUUUCUGAGUUCGCUGCUAGUUCUGCUUGGUCUACCCAGCUCCCUCCGGGUUGGACGGUCAAGUGGGAUCCCUCCUCGGACGGCGAGGACAGGGGUCAGUGAUGUCAUGAUCGGCUUCUUCAUGAUAUCGUGCAUCGACGUUUAGUUUCCGUUCGUUUUAUUUCCGCUGCUUGAACACUCUACAAACUAUGUUUGAAUUUCUGAACUUUAUGUUGUAAUAAAUCGAUGCACUUUGUUUAAUCUGGAUGGACUGUUGUAAUCUCUGUAACCACUCACCAUCGUGUGAGUUUUGCUUUCUCGAUCCUGCGUUACGUGGUUUUAUCGGAGGAAAUCCGACGGACGACCAAGUUGACUUGUUUAAAGUACAUGAUCGCGUUUAGGCGACUUAAGUGUGCUUUAGCCAAGUUAAUUUAGGCGGUUCCGCCACAGCUGGUACCAGAGCUUGAAAGCAUGACAGAGAAAACAACAGACUUUAAAUACCUUUUCUAAAAUAAAACUUGCAAGAAAUUAGUUUGAAAAUUCCGUACGAUCGUUAAGGAUGAUCUUAGUACGAGAAGCCCUAGGGGAAUUUUGGGGUUAUUUAAGGUGGCUAUUAGCUAUUGGUUAUUUUACUAACUUCUAGCACUUUCGCCCACGUGUAUUAUACAUGCGCAGAGUUCCGCAUCGCGAGUAUGCGAGAGGUGGUAGGAAGUUCUAUUCAAAAGAACCUAUCAUCGCGGUUGUUUUCGCCCACGUUUAUUAUACGUGCGCAAGGUUCCGUAUGAUGAUUCAUGCGAAGGGUGGUAUGGUUCGAUUCCAACGAGCCUAUCAUCACGGUUGUUCGCCCACGUUUAUGAUACGUGCGCAUGAUUCCGCAUCACGAGUAUGCGAAGGGUUAUAUGGUCCUAUUCAAAGGGGCCUAUUUCCACGGUUGUUGCGCUGUCCAUGCAGCGUUAAACGCAUGGGUGCCAUUUCUAUAGUGAAUGGUAAUGAAUGGGGACGCUUUCGUGAGUGCUGGCAUGAAAGGUUCAUGUGGUAUUGUGUUUUUCUGCAGGUACACUAACCACGUUCGUUUAGGAAAACGAUAUUAGAAACCCGACUAGAUACUAUAGGGAGCGAUGUAAUUGUUGCCUCGCCACCGGCACUAAUCACGUAAGUCCAAUUUUUGGCAAUUAUUUUGGUUGAGAGGAUGAUGUAGGUCGUGCAUGCAUCAUGAACUAAAAUACGUGAAACCGAACCAUUAAAUCGACCUUACUCAUGUGUUUUAAGUUUUUUUUUUCCGCGUUAUGGAUUUUCUAGCUACCCUUUUCAGCAUGGUGUCUUAUCAAAAUCUUUUGGGUUGUUUCCAUGUGUUAUCUACAGAAACUUUAUAUAAGAAAAGUGUGUAAAAACGUUUUAUUAUGCCACUGGUAAAAUUUGGUAAUUUUUCCCAAAGGAUUUGCGAGCAAUGACAAAAAAUUUGUAACUCCUUAUUUCCUGGAAAUACAGUUUGUGCACCUGUUAUAGUCUUCCUGUUUCGACUCCCUUAAGGACAUUUUCUGCUAGGCACUGCUUAAGAAAAGCUGUAGAGCACUGUUUGAAGAACCUUGUGGUAAAUAUUCAGCUUAUUUAUAUCUCUGGUUUGGGAGUUAUGCUCAGUUUAUUGCCACACUGUCCCUGGAAAUUCCAGCAUGUGCCACCUGCCAAAGAUCUGAGUAUAUCACCCUGUUAGGAUCUGUUUUCACUCCACUUAUGAAUACCAAACUUGUUACCAAUUAUCAGAAGGGAAUGUUGGUAAAAUUUGGGAAUUUUUGGAUGAGUACUUGUUGAGUUAUGAGCUUUUUCUCUAGCCUACCAGAAUCUGUUUUUAUCCUGAGUUUUAAUCUCACGUUUCUUUUAUCACUCCUUGGUUCCAGAUGGCCGCUCCUGGGCACGUGAUGCGUGGCACGGAUGGCACCUCCCACUCCACGUGCCUACACUUCGAGGGUUUUCCCGCUAUCUUGUGGGACACCUUGAGGUGGUUUGGGUACCAGUCGCCGCCUCUUUACGCGGGACGCGAGUACCUGGAGCACGGGGUGCAAAGGUGCAGCGUGCGUGUGGUCGUACCUCCACCCCCAGUGCAGCCACAGUGGCCCCAGCUUGAGGUUUCGACAUAUGGUCAUACCCUCGAGGAUACUUGGGAGUCCGCUGCCCUGCAGGCCCUCACUCAGUUCUGCAGACUACACCCUUUCGAGGUCCUUUUGGAUCCGAUUGGCUUGUUCCCCGCUAGGGACAGACUGGACGCAGACUGGCUUGAUAGGGUGAACAACAUGGAGGUGUUGGUCACCUCACACCCGCAGGUCACCCUCUCCACCGCAACGCGUUGUAUGAAUGCGUUGUACCGACUGGUCGAGCUCCAGGGGAGAGCUAUGGCUGUCUUGGCUCGUAUAGCUGUGGACACCCAGGAGCAUCUCAAUACCACCAAGAGAGAUUUGGUGGAACAGUCGUACCAGCUCAUCCAGAGGGGUAUACGGAUCUCUGACAUGGAGACCCGGAUCACCGAGCUAGAGGAGGAGGUGACAGAUAUGGAGCACGAUAUGGUAUUGCUUGCAGAGGAGAAGCUAGAGGUUGAGAUGGAGCUAGCUGUUGCUAAUGCGCACUUGGAUGAGCACCACGCUGAGCUCAAUGCCAUCCAUGCGCAGGAGCAGCAGGGGGAGAAUGACCCGAUGGAGGAGGAGGAGGAGGAGGAGGACCCCGAGGAGAUCGAGGGUGUCUCGAGCAUGGACUUCGAGGGCGUUCAGUCUCCGCCCCGAGUUGGUGACGCCCCUUCUCCGGCGCACAGCGCUUCCUCCGUGGGCAACUUAGAUGACUUCUAGGUUUUUGUUGUAGCGAGUUGGUCUUCUGUUGUUACUCCUCGGCAACCUAUAUUUUGGAUGGCGAUGUAAUAGGUUAGCCUCGAGUUGAGUACCCUUGCUGCCAUAGACUUGUUAUGUAUGCAUGGACAUGCUUUUGUCAUGACCGGCGAUGUAACCGAAAACUUGGCAGAAAUAUAGUUGUUGUUUGGUCUCAGUUUUAACCCUAUCUCCACUCACUUUUGAACUGAUAUUUAAAUACCAAAGUUGUGCAAAAACUUGUGUUCUAACCGCUCGUAAAAUUUCAGCUCCUUUCGAUCUGUUAAACUCGUGUUAGAAGCCAAAACUUCACCGCUCAGAUUGCUGAAAAACAGCCGGACAACGACUCACUCAGCUCACUUUUCAAUCUCUUUAUCUUAUGUUUUGGUCAGCGAGCGUAAUACAAAAGUUGUGGCAUAUGAAAUGCGCUAACUACUGACCAAAGAUGAGAAACAAUGUGCAUAAAGAAGAAGAGAUAUGCACCUACUCAAUAAAAGGAUCUUAUUGUUGUUUUUCUCAGGAUCCGCAAGAUUUAUGUUUAUGAUCCCGCACAUAAUUUUUCCUUGUUUUUAAGCAAGCUUUCGAAUUAUGUGACUAAUGGAAAGAUACCCUCUUGCAGAUGGUGCGCACUGCACGCUUAAGCUCGAUCCCAAGUGGUAGCGAGGAUAAUCGAGCACCUCCGCCGCCACCGCCUCCCCCGCCUUCGCUAGAGGCGAUCUUGGCUGCACAGACAGAGCUCUUGCGACACAUCGUCCAAGGGCAGCAACACCAGCCUCAGGGAGGAAGGGGUCAUCAGCAGCCCCAGAUUGCUCAUUAUGAGGAUUUCUUAGGGACCCAGCCCCCGCUCUUCCACAAGACUGAGGAUCCUCUCGAUGCUGAUGCAUGGAUUCACAUUCUGGAAUCCAAGUUCGAGCUUCUUACUACGCCUUGCACCGAUGACAACAAGGCACGGUUUGCAGCCCAGCAGCUGCGUGGUUCUGCCCGCCUCUGGUGGGACCACUACCACGCCAUGCUGCCGGCUGACCACAUCGUCAGCUGGGACGAGUUCAAGACCGCUUUCAGAGGCCAUCAUAUCCCUGAGGGCCUAAUGGAGUGCAAGCUCAAUGAGUUCCUGGCUCUCACCCAGGGAAGUCGCGACGUCCUGCAUUACGCACAGACCUUCAACGACCUCUGCCGCUAUGCCAGCUAUCACGCAGAUACGGAUGAGAAGAAGCGGGAUCGGUUCCGCAGGGGCUUGAGUCUCGAACUCAAGGAAAGGCUGAACCCCAUCAAAGUGGAUACCUACAACGAGCUGGUGAAUCUGGCCAUUUCCCAGGAAGACUGCAUGAAGGCCCUCAAGGUCGACCUGAAGCGGAAAGCUCCCAUGAUAUCACCUAGCCCGCCUGCUCGGAAAUUCAGGAUGGUUCCCCCUUCAGCACCUCGCAGGCCCGCGCAGCCUGGGAGAUGGGUUGCUCGCCCUCCACCACCGGCAGCACCUCGUUUCCCCGGUUUCCAGCCGCAGGCGCCUCAGCGCAACCUUCCACCGCCGCCGCGCCCUGCAAAUGGUAACCGCUGCUUCACCUGCGGCAACAUGGGACACUUUGCCAAGGACUGCCCCAGAAACAAGAAUCAACGCCCCGGCCAGAGCAAUGCAAUGGUGAACAAGGGAAAGAAGCCCAAAGUACAAGUUCGUCAUGGCAGGCUAAACUUCACCAAUGUGGCAGAACUCCCAGAAGGCGCACCGGUGAUGACGGGUACAUUCCUUAUUCAUAAUCAACCAGUUUUGAUUUUAUUUGAUUCCGGAGCAUCUCAUAGUUUCAUCGGAAGUAAAACUGGUGCUAGAUGUGGGUUAAGGUUCUGUCACACCAAAGGGUCGUAUAUGAUCUCUACCCCGGGUGGGAAAAUAGCCUCAGAUCAAAUGAACCUCAAUGUACCUAUCAAGUUAGGAAGAACCCUCUUUAAGGAAAAUCUUAUUAUUCUCGGUCUAGAGGGAAUAGAUAUUAUCUUGGGUAUGGAUUGGAUGACUCGACACCGAGUAAUGCUAGAUAUCUCCGCCCGAGCUGUCCACAUAGACUCACCACUGUAUGGCACCUCCACUAUCCACUUACCCCACCGAGAGUGCGUAAACUCCUGUGCUUAUCCUGUGGUUGAAGCCCAACUGGAAGAUAUCCCCAUUGUUUGUGAGUAUCCAGAUGUAUUCCCGGAUGACCUGCCAGGCAUGCCACCUGACAGGGAUAUCGAGUUUGCUAUUGAGUUGCAACCAGGCACGGCACCAAUAUCCAAGAGGCCGUAUCGAAUGCCACCCGCAGAGCUGGCAGAACUGAAAACCCAAUUACAUGAACUAUUGGAAAAGGGUUUCAUUCGCGCAAGUACGUCACCUUGGGGCUGUCCAGCACUGUUUGUGAAGAAGAAGGACGAGAGUCUACGCAUGUGUGUGGACUACCGCCCUCUCAAUGCGGUGACGAUUAAGAAUAAAUAUCCAUUGCCCCGCAUUGAUGUCCUAUUUGAUCAGUUAGCUGGAGCCAGAGUAUUCUCCAAGAUAGACCUUCGUUCAGGCUAUCAUCAGAUCAAGAUCCGACCGUGUGACAUUCCCAAAACGGCUUUCUCCACACGGUAUGGACUCUACGAGUAUCUAGUUAUGUCGUUUGGGCUUACUAAUGCGCCUGCUUAUUUCAUGUAUCUCAUGAAUUCGGUGUUUAUGCCCGAGCUGGACAAAUUCGUCGUGGUAUUCAUUGAUGACAUCCUAGUGUACUCGAAGAAUGAGAAGGAACAUGCCGAGCAUCUUCGCAUUGUUCUUCAACGCUUGAGAGAUCAUCAGCUGUACGCGAAGUUCUCCAAGUGUGAGUUCUGGUUGGAGAAUGUUAAAUUCUUGGGACACACUAUUUCUCGAGAUGGCAUUGCAGUCGACCCCAGCAAAGUGCAAGAGGUCAUGGACUGGAAGCCACCCACUUCGGUUCAUCAAAUCCGAAGCUUUCUUGGUCUAGCAGGCUACUAUCGGCGAUUCAUUCCGGAUUUCUCAAAAAUAGCUAAGCCUAUGACUGAGUUAUUGAAGAAAGGAGUCAAAUUCACAUGGAGUGACAAAUGUGAAGAAGCUUUCCACACCUUGAGAAGACUUUUAACCUCUGCCCCAGUCCUAGCUCAACCUGACACUACUAAGCCGUUUGACGUGUAUUGUGACGCCUCCGGCACUGGACUUGGGUGUGUUCUCAUGCAAGACAACCGAGCCAUUGCCUAUGCCUCACGAGCGUUACGGCCACAUGAGCUGAAUUACCCAACACAUGAUCUUGAAUUGGCAGCCGUGAUUCAUGCCUUGAAGAUGUGGAGACACUAUCUUAUGGGCACUCAUUGCAAUGUCUACACUGAUCACAAGAGCCUCAAGUAUAUCUUUACUCAAGCGGAUCUUAACAUGCGUCAGAGAAGGUGGUUGGAAUUAAUUAAGGAUUAUGAUCUGGAAGUGCAUUAUCACCCCGGCAAAGCAAAUGUAGUUGCCGAUGCUCUCAGUCGCAAGGCCCAUUGCAAUUGUUUGUCAGCAACUAACUUCGCAGAAACCAUAUGUCAUGAGAUGGGAAAACUUAGUUUGGAAAUUAUUUCCCAUGACACCUUAGGUCAUGUUUCCAUUGAAUCUACCUUAGAGGACCAAAUUGGGCUGAUACAAUUAGAAGAUGAGGAAAUAAAGCUAAUUAAGGAGAAAGUUGCACAGAGAAAUGAGGGGUAUAAACAUUUCCGACAAGAUGAGAAGGGAAUAGUGUACUAUGAGAACCAACUUGUUGUCCCAUCUAACCCCGACCUUAGGAAGCAAAUCCUGGAUGAAGCACAUCUCUCCAAGUUCUCGAUUCAUCCUGGCAGCAAUAAGAUGUAUCAUGACCUCCGUCAAACAUUUUGGUGGAGUGGAAUGAAACCGGAAAUUGCACGCUAUGUCUCGGAAUGCGACACGUGUCAACGUAUCAAGGCAAGCCACUUGAAGGUAGCAGGUACCUUGCAACCGCUACCUAUUCCAUCUUGGAAAUGGGAAGAUAUCAGCAUGGAUUUCAUUGUGGGAUUACCCGUUACUUCUCAGCGCCAUGAUUCUAUUUGGGUUAUAGUGGACCGUCUUACCAAGACGGCACAUUUCCUUCCUGUUCACACUACCUACACCGCUCGGAAAUAUGCAGAAUUGUAUCUUGACCGUAUUGUGUCCCUACAUGGUGUGCCGAAGACAAUCAUCUCUGAUCAAGGAUUUCAAUUCAUCGCACGCUUUUGGGAACAACUACAGUCCGCACUUGGCACUAAGCUAAUCCGUAGCUCAACAUAUCACCCUCAGACUGAUGGCCAAACAGAAAGGGUGAAUCAAAUUCUAGAAGACAUGCUACGUGCUUGCGUCAUACAUUAUGACAAGAAUUGGGAUAAAUGUUUGCCAUUAGCAGAAUUUUCCUAUAACAAUAGCUACCAAGCUAGCUUGAAAAUGGCACCAUUUGAAGCCCUAUAUGGUUGAAGGUGUCGAACACCUUUAAAUUGGUCACAAGCAGGAGAAAGACAAACCUACGGGCCUGAUCUAGUAGUUGAAGCCGAAGAGCAAGUUAAAAUAAUUCAGGCAAAUCUUAAAGCCGCCCAAUCACGACAGAAAAGCUAUUUUGACAAAAGGAGAAGGUCCUUACAGUUUGACAUUGGUGAUCAUGUAUACCUCCGAGUCUCACCGACUAAGGGUGUACAACGGUUUAGGAUCAAAGGAAAAUUGGCUCCCCGAUACAUUGGUCCCUAUGAGAUCGUGGAAAUAUGCGGACCAGUCGCAUAUAGAGCUCGCGAUGAAGGCCGGCGCUCGCAAGAACUCAUGACGGAGGGCAGGGCUCAUGCUCUCAGGCAAGGGAGCCCGCAACCGAAGGCAAUGGGUAGGCCGACGAUUUUGGAAGAAGCAGAGGGGCCUGUUCGAGGAACAAGGACAUACGUGUAGCAAACGAGCUAAAAUUUACCUUCUUUGAGCUUAAGUGAAGUCAUUAGAGCUUAAUGGAACCAAUGAACAGCCUUGCACCCAAGUAAAAUGACCCCUUUUGCCCCUCACGAGCUAAACAUGUGUUUAAGCCAUAACUCAAUUUUUUUUCUUAAGAACUUAAAAAUCUACCUAACUAAGAGUUGUAUAACUCACAAAUUCUAACAACUUUUGUAAUUAGCUUUUUGCUUGAAACUGAUCAGAAAAGGGUCAAAAUAUCGAAUUACAAAUCUGGGCCGAAAGGUGCAGAUCAAAUAAAGUCAGAACUUUGGAGCCCUUUUUCUCACAUUUUCGAAUGUAUGCUCAUGACAAACCUUUUAUGAAAGUUUUAGUACUACGAGUCCUUAACAACUUUGAUUUUUGAGCAUAGGCCAAAAUCUGCACAGAAGGUUUUCAAAAACGAGGUCAAACGCAGCUAAAAUGGUCAACACUGUCAAAAAUGGCUGAAGUGUUCAAGUCUGAAAGUUUCGGAUUUUGCCAAACUUUGAAGCGUUUUAUCUUCAAUUCAGCUUCGAAUUUGAAAUCAAGACAAUUACAAGAAUUGAACUUAGAUCCUAGGCCUACAACUUUUGUAAAGGGAGUAGGGGUUGUGCAGUUCAAAAAUCUGGAGAAGAUCGCGCUCGAAGAUUGCCCUAUCGUCCGAUCCCGCAAAUCCCGCACCAGAGCUCACGCCGAGCACGCGUGCGCCGCGCUCCCCUCACCGGCCGCCCCGUGGCACGUGCUCCUCGUCGCUGCCCCGUCGAGUUGCCCCCUGCCGCUGCUCUAUCCGCACGCGCCCUGCGACGCUCUGGCACGCCACCGCCGCCGUGCCCGCCAACGCACGCCCGAGACAAGACGCCACAGCUCCUCGGCCUCGCCUGCAGCGCCCUAAUGGAGCCGUUCACCCGUGCACGCCUGCUUCGCUUGCGGCGCCCGCCUGCAAGCACGCCCGCCAAGUCGCCUCCCCUAUCCGCCAAUGGUGCCCGCCGUGGCCGGUCCACCCCGCAGCAGCGUACUAGCGCCCCAUCCUCCAAACCACCCUCCUCAAGUCUCCUGCCUCCUUUCCAAGCCCCCGUGCCCUCCAACAGAAAGUUCUUGCCCCAAACCGGCAGCUCGAGAGGUUCCCGUUCCCUGACGAAAUCUGGCCAGCUCCCUCCGCCUCUGUCUAAUAGCCCACGCCUAAGGCUCCUCCACUUCCUCAGCCACACCCUCGGACACUCCUCGUCGCCUGCCUUCCACCCCAUCGCCCGGAAUCCCACUUUCCCCAACUCCAGGAACUCCACCCGCCACCCCCACUGCCUCACCGCGGAACACCAUCUUCCAGUCAUCCUCGUCGUCAACCAACCACUCAAACGGAACCACGGUAAGACACUGAUCAUCAUGCUCGCGCUCGAUUUCCUCUGGGGUCAACUUUCCGCGCUCGUUCCCGCUCAUGUCGACGGCGUUCCUCGCCGCCCGCGGAGCCCCUUCUGCGCCGCCGCGAUCCGCGUCUCUGGACCUGCUUCUGGGAGCCGUUGGCCCUGCUUCGCAGCCCCUCCUCGCCCCCAAGCCGCCCCGCUGCCCUCCCCCUACCGCCGCUGGCCCAAUCCCGAACGCCGGCCAAGCGUGUCUGUUUUGCUGUGCUGUGCGUUCUGUUCCAGAGGAAGAAGAAGGCCAGGGGUCUAGUUGCGAGUGGAAAAGAAAGUCAGGGGGUUAUGGGGAAAAUCGUGGGAUUUAUGUUUGAGGUGGGUUUUUGUCCAGGGGUGUAGGCGCAAGAUCCAGGGGCCUCUACGCAUUUAACCCAUAGACUGGAGGGCUAGAUUGGAAGAUUGCCUCGGUUUUCUUUUUUUUUCCUGGAUCUAAAAAGGCUGAAAGUUUAAAAAGGCAUAGAAAAGUGUAGAAAAAUGCUAAAAAUGCAAGAUAAAUUUUGUUAGACUCAAUAUUCUGUUUAGUUUCAUAUAAAAAUAAGUUUACACAUGUCUCUGUUAGAAUUAAUGUUAUAUGAUUUAAUCCUUGUUUAAGCUAGUUUAAAUCAUAGCAAAUCACAGAAAAAUGCUAAAAAGGUAAAUCCAACUCUCAAGUGUUUGUUUCAGAGAAUAAAAGCUUAGAAAAAUGGUUUAGAGCCUAGCUUAGACAUUUAAGUUACUGUUUUAGUUUAUUAAUUGAAAUCUACGGGUAGAUUUUUCUUUUUGCAUAAUGAUAAAUCCAGAGAUGAUAAAAAUAUGAAACCACUUGGAAUAAUUCAGGAAUGAGGUGUAGUUCACAGGAAAAUUAUGAGACUUGGUUUGAAAGUUAAUGAAAACCUCUUUCCUUUUUAGAGAAAGAUAAAAAGGAAUAAUAUAUGAAAUGCCUUUCAGACUCUUGGUUUUGCAUGUUGAAUCAUUUGCACCUGCAUUUCAUGUAGAAGUUAACAUCGCCGACGGUACAUACGAGCUGCACCCGACGCUCGAAGAGGAAGCUGUAGCGGAUCUACACCACGCCGAAGUCGAGCCCGUGCCAGAGCAAGCCAAGGACCAGUUCGGUAACUCCGAGUGUGAAGGCAAGCCCCGGAUCAUAAAUUCCUAUGUUUAAAUACUUGCAAUAUAUUGGUUGUUUUGAUUAUGCAUUUACGUUUAUAGGAAUUGAUUGAAACCAUAGAUGCAUGAAUAUAGUGCCCCUUGAUCUGAACACUAGUAUAAGAAGUCGAGUAGUUGCAAUGCUAAAUAGGACUCGGUAAAAGUCGAGUGAUUUCCUGUCACUCGCGAGUUAUAGGAGUUGAAUGAUUUUCUUUUCGUUGCAACUAUAAGGAUGAUGGACGGGGCUGGGCUUAUGUUGGUACUCGGUGGUUUGCCCCGUCUGUCUACUUGAAAUUGGACUAAGGUCGAAAGGUGAUGGUGUUCGUGAUCAAGUGUUUGAAAGUACUAAUCUCAUACCUAGUAUAGGUGGGGAAGCCUAGUACCUGAUUGAACUGGGACGUGGCUUAUACCCCUGCUGUCCUUGGAACGUCGUUCCCAUGGUGCAUCAUGUGGGUGCAAUGGCGGUCAUAGUACGGUAGAGACCGGGACUGUGGAGCAUUGCAUGCCAAAGGAAGUUUGGACCUGACACGUACCUAGGGAUCGAUGGGGACGGCUGACAAGUGAAGCGACCCUUCGUGGUGCGCGGAUGUCGUGGGAUUAGGUUCGCCAUGCAUGGUUAAUAAAUUCGAAUCGAUUCGUCUGCCUCUCACAGUGUGGGACUACUUGAUCGCUAUGCUACACUGAGUAAGAAUGAAAGAUGAUGAUGAUAUAAUAUUGUUACUUGUUAUUAAUUGCUUGGAAAACUAUGCUUGUUUAGUAUAGUUGCUAACUUAGAAUGAUAAACAACAGUAGAACUGGUGGCUAAAAUGUUGAAAGUAAGGACCUACACUAGUCGCUUUUGGCAAAACAAAACCCAGAGCCAAAAAGCUUACAUGUAGUGUUAGUGGAUUAGUACCACAGGUCGGUUAAGUCUUGUUGAGCAUAGUUGCUCAGCCUUGUUUGUGGCACCUCUUUUCAGGUGAGGAUGAUGUUUCUGAGUUCGCUGCUAGUUCUGCUUGGUCUACCCAGCUCCCUCCGGGUUGGACGGUCAAGUGGGAUCCCUCCUCGGACGGCGAGGACAGGGGUCAGUGAUGUCAUGAUCGGCUUCUUCAUGAUAUCGUGCAUCGACGUUUAGUUUCCGUUCAUUUUAUUUCCGCUGCUUGAACACUCUACAAACUAUGUUUGAAUUUCUGAACUUUAUGUUGUAAUAAAUCGAUGCACUUUGUUUAAUCUGGAUGGACUGUUGUAAUCUCUGUAACCACUCACCAUCGUGUGAGUUUUGCUUUCUCGAUCCUGCGUUACGUGGUUUUAUCGGAGGAAAUCCGACGGACGACCAAGUUGACUUGUUUAAAGUACAUGAUCGCAUUUAGGCGACUUAAGUGUGCUUUAGCCAAGUUAAUUUAGGCGGUUCCGCCACAAUACGGCGCGAGAAGAGCGGCGUUAACUCUCUGGCGGCACAAGGAGAUGCAGGGCGCUCCUGGUCCGCAGGCCCGUGAGGAUGCAGUCUAGCCACACGAGAGGAACGGGCGCAACGAAGGCAUACUACCGAGACGAAAAAUCUCUCCAUCCAUCGCUCGGUCAUCAGUGCAACUGUGUGCAAGCAAGCCAGACAAGCAAGAUGACUACCGCUAUCUACUAGCUUUGAUCGGAGGGCCCGCCUUGACUUGUUGCUUUUGAUCGAGGAGAACGACUUGUGUGAUGCAGUUGCGUGCGAGUCGCUACCGUCAAAGUGUGGCCCUUUCAGAAUUUGCUAGAUUCUAGGGACCAGCGGUGGAGCAUAACGACCAUCAAAAGGAGGCUCCUGACCUGCCGCAACAGCAUCUUCAUGACAUCUUCGCAAAUAACGAAGCAUUUCUUUCUCCAAUAUGCUCAUUUUCUUCGGCUUAUUGUGAGAGCCAACUAUUGUUUUCCCCUUGCCACGAGAGGAACGACAAUCUCCCCCACCAUCGCCACUACCUCCAGCAGCAAUAGCUAUCUUUAUGUACCACAAUUUAUUUAGCUCAUAUUUGCAAAUAACUAAACUAUUAAAAAAUUAUAUAUUUCCCACAUAAUUUAUUUAGAACUAAUUACGUACCUCUAUUUGAAAAGUACUAAACUAUGAAAUUACACCUACAAUUUAUUUACCUUAAUUUUAUGGCUAAUUUCUAAAUAUUAAAAACACAUUUACUCUAAUUUUUUCCUAAUACAUAAAUUUGAAAUCCUCUCCAUUCUACCUCACAUUUACUCUCCAUUCUCCCUCACAUUCAAACUAUCCAUCACAUUGUAGCUCAAAAACAUGUAUAAAUACAAAUCCUCUCCAUUCUCCCUCUUUCUAACAAUCAAACUCAUUUUUCUCCCCCUCCUCUAAAGUAUAAAACAAAGCAUAACAACAAUAAAUAAACAAAUAAUGAAGUAGCUAACCUUCACAACACUUUGGAUGAGUGAAGUCCCCACGGAAAUAAGGAAAAAAUAUUCAGCAGCACCUCCCCUAGGCUUGCUUCAGCGCCAUGGAGAGGAUGAGCUUCUCUGUCUUUGUGGAGUGAAGUGGCUCGGGCUGGACGAGUGGAGGAGGAAGAAAGGCCUCUAUUCUGCAGCUUUA